GGGGGGAUACCAAAGCGGCCAACUGGGGCAGACUGUAAAUCUGUUGUCGUGAGACUUCGCAGGUUCGAAUCCUGCUCCCCCCA
rnacentral:tRNA from 1 species